rnacentral:rRNA from 1 species
AGAGUUUGAUCCUGGCUCAGAGCGAACGCUGGCGGCAGGCUUAACACAUGCAAGUCGAGCGGGCAUCCUUGUGGUGUCAGCGGCAGACGGGUGAGUAACGCGUGGGAACGUGCCCUUCGGUUCGGAAUAACUCAGGGAAACUUGAGCUAAUACCGGAUACGCCCAUGGCCUCUGGCCUGGGGAAAGGUUUAUCUGCCGAAGGAUCGGCCCGCGUCUGAUUAGCUAGUUGGUGAGGUUAUGGCUCACCAAGGCGACGAUCAGUAGCUGGUCUGAGGGGAUGAUCAGCCACACUGGGACUGAGACACGGCCCAGACUCCUACGGGAGGCAGCAGUGGGGAAUAUUGGACAAUGGGGGCAACCCUGAUCCAGCCAUGCCGCGUGAGUGAUGACGGCCUUAGGGUUGUAAAGCUCUUUUCUCCGGGACGAUAAUGACGGUACCGGAGGAAUAAGCCCCGGCUAACUUCGUGCCAGCAGCCGCGGUAAUACGAAGGGGGCUAGCGUUGCUCGGAAUCACUGGGCGUAAAGGGCGCGUAGGCGGCUGAUUUAGUCGAGGGUGAAAGCCCGUGGCUCAACCACGGAAUGGCCUUCGAUACUGAUUGGCUUGAGACCGGAAGAGGACAGCGGAACUGCGAGUGUAGAGGUGAAAUUCGUAGAUAUUCGCAAGAACACCAGUGGCGAAGGCGGCUGUCUGGUCCGGUUCUGACGCUGAGGCGCGAAAGUCGUGGGAGCAAACAGGAUUAGAUACCCUGGUAGUC